ACUGGAAGACAGCGAUGCUUUAUAUUUCUAAGCACAUAUCUGAGUUGUAUGUGUGGAUGUUACUAAAACUGAGUCUUUUCUGC
ensembl:snoRNA SNORD121B small nucleolar RNA, C/D box 121B